rnacentral:rRNA from 1 species
AUUGAACGCUGGCGGCAUGCUUUACACAUGCAAGUCGAACGGUAACAGGCCGCAAGGUGCUGACGAGUGGCGAACGGGUGAGUAAUGCAUCGGAACGUGCCCAGUCGUGGGGGAUAACUACUCGAAAGAGUAGCUAAUACCGCAUACGAUCUAUGGAUGAAAGCGGGGGACCGUAAGGCCUCGCGCGAUUGGAGCGGCCGAUGUCAGAUUAGGUAGUUGGUGGGGUAAAGGCUCACCAAGCCAACGAUCUGUAGCUGGUCUGAGAGGACGGCCAGCCACACUGGGACUGAGACACGGCCCAGACUCCUACGGGAGGCAGCAGUGGGGAAUUUUGGACAAUGGGCGCAAGCCUGAUCCAGCAAUGCCACGUGCAGGAAGAAGGCCUUCGGGUUGUAAACUGCUUUUGUACGGAACGAAACGGCUCUGGUUAAUACCCGGGGCUAAUGACGGUACCGUAAGAAUAAGCACCGGCUAACUACGUG